AGUGAACGCUGGCGGUAGGCCUAACACAUGCAAGUCGAACGGCAGCACAGGAGAGCUUGCUCUCUGGGUGGCGAGUGGCGGACGGGUGAGGAAUACAUCGGAAUCUACUCUGUCGUGGGGGAUAACGUAGGGAAACUUACGCUAAUACCGCAUACGACCUACGGGUGAAAGCAGGGGAUCUUCGGACCUUGCGCGAUUGAAUGAGCCGAUGUCGGAUUAGCUAGUUGGGGGGGUAAAGGCCCACCAAGGCGACGAUCCGUAACUGGUCUGAGAGGACGAUCAGCCACACUGGAACUGAGACACGGUCCAGACUCCUACGGGAGGCAGCAGUGGGGAAUAUUGGACAAUGGGGGAAACCCUGAUCCAGCAAUGCCGCGUGUGCGAUGAAGGCCUGCGGGUUGUAAAGCACUUUCGGUGGGGAAGAAAUGCCCAAAGAUAAUAUCUUUGGGAGCUGACGUUACCCACAGAAGAAGCACCGGCAAACUCUGUGCCAGCCGCCGCGGUAA
rnacentral:rRNA from 1 species